UAACCUGCCCAAGAGAUCGGGAUAACACCUGGAAACAGAUGCUAAUACCGGAUAACAACAGAUGAUGCCUAUCAACUGUUUAAAAGAUGGUUAUGCUAUCACUCUUGGAUGGACCUGCGGUGCAUUAGCUAGUUGGUAGGGUAACGGCCUACCAAGGCGAUGAUGCAUAGCCGAGUUGAGAGACUGAUCGGCCACAUUGGGACUGAGACACGGCCCAAACUCCUACGGGAGGCAGCAGAG
rnacentral:rRNA from 1 species